rnacentral:tRNA from 1 species
GCCACGGUGGCGGAAUUGGUAGACGCGCCGGAUUCAAAAUCCGGUUCCUUCGGGAGUGUCGGUUCGAUUCCGACCCGUGGUACCA